ACGGCCGUACCAUGCUGAAUAUACCGGUUCUCGUUAGAUCACCGAAGUCAAGCAUCAUUGGGCGCGGUCAGUACUUGGGUGGGUGACCACCUGGGAACACCGCAUGCCGUU
rnacentral:rRNA from 1 species